rnacentral:rRNA from 1 species
GAUGAACGCUAGCUACAGGCUUAACACAUGCAAGUCGAGGGGAAACGAUAUUGGAAGCUUGCUUCCGAUAGGCGUCGACCGGCGCACGGGUGAGUAACGCGUAUCCAACCUGCCCGCCACUUGGGGAUAACCUUGCGAAAGUAAGACUAAUACCCAAUGACGUCCAUAGAAGACAUCUGAAAUGGAUUAAAGAUUUAUCGGUGAUGGAUGGGGAUGCGUCUGAUUAGCUUGUUGGCGGGGUAACGGCCCACCAAGGCGACGAUCAGUAGGGGUUCUGAGAGGAAGGUCCCCCACAUUGGAACUGAGACACGGUCCAAACUCCUACGGGAGGCAGCAGUGAGGAAUAUUGGUCAAUGGGCGAGAGCCUGAACCAGCCAAGUAGCGUGCAGGAUGACGGCCCUAUGGGUUGUAAACUGCUUUUAUAAGGGAAUAAAGUGAGUCUCGUGAGACUUUUUGCAUGCACCUUAUGAAUAAGGACCGGCUAAUUCCGUGCCAGCAGCCGCCGCCG